GCAGGCCUAACACAUGCAAGUCGAACGGUAACAGGAAGCAGCUUGCUUCUUCGCUGACGAGUGGCGGACGGGUGAGUAAUGUCUGGGAAACUGCCUGAUGGAGGGGGAUAACUACUGGAAACGGUAGCUAAUACCGCAUAACGUCGCAAGACCAAAGAGGGGGACCUUCGGGCCUCUUGCCAUCGGAUGUGCCCAGAUGGGAUUAGCUUGUGGUGGGGUAACGGCUCACCAGGCGACGAUCCCUAGCUGGUCUGAGAGGAUGACCAGCCACACUGGAACUGAGACACGGUCCAGACUCCUACGGGAGGCAGCAGUGGGGAAUAUUGCACAAUGGGCGCAAGCCUGAUGCAGCCAUGCCGCGUGUAUGAAGAAGGCCUUCGGGUUGUAAAGUACUUUCAGCGGGGAGGAAGGGAGUAAAGUUAAUACCUUUGCUCAUUGACGUUACCCGCAGAAGAAGCACCGGCUAACUCCGUGCCAGCAGCCGCGGUAAUACGGAGGGUGCAAGCGUUAAUCGGAAUUACUGGGCGUAAAGCGCACGCAGGCGGUUUGUUAAGUCAGAUGUGAAAUCCCCGGGCUCAACCUGGGAACUGCAUCUGAUACUGGCAAGCUUGAGUCUCGUAGAGGGGGGUAGAAUUCCAGGUGUAGCGGUGAAAUGCGUAGAGAUCUGGAGGAAUACCCGGUGGCGAAGGCGGCCCCCUGGACGAAGAC
rnacentral:rRNA from 1 species